AAGACUAUACUUUCAGGGAUCAUUUCUAUAGUUCGUUACUAGAUAUUUUUCUUUGUUAUAAUUAUUAACUGAAGCAUUCUUCUCUGU
ensembl:snoRNA LOC120098417 small nucleolar RNA U3